UCAAUCGGCGGCUGUAUGUUGACUUACUAGAAUAUAAUUGCUGUUAAUCCGGCCCUGCUUCGUGUACAAAUGCAUAGUGGGGAGACAUGAACAUUUUUCGAAAUUGCGGCCCUAUCCUCUUGGGAUUCUACGUUGGACAAAUUCUGAAAACGACCCCAGAAAUAUAAUUGGAGGUUCAAACCCGUGCGAGGUGAGCUUUCAUAUAUGAAACAGACCAGUCAUGGGGACACGAGAUAUGGAAAGUUUCAGCGUAGUCGUCGCCACAUUGCUGCCAACACUGCAUAUAUAAGGAAUCACGAACCAUUCAGGAAUAUUGAGACUUAGACCAGUAUCUUUUUAAGUAGGCAUGUGGGGUAAAGAAGACGCAGAAGCUUCAGUCGGGUACCAUCGGUAACGUAGGCGAUUGAUAUAUUUCCACCACUACAUAUGUUGGAUUGGAAUUUCCCAUUUGAUGCUUUGACUGACUAAAUGAGAAAACUUGGAGAUAUUAAUGGUGGUGCCACACAGCUUCCAGUUCCGAAAAAAGAAAUAAAACACUUUUCGUCUUUAUUUCCUCUGUCCUUUGUGCGCAAAAAAAGUACAGUUUGUACCCGCGAGGGUACACAUUCGCAGAACUAUAUGUUUUUAAAAUAAA